UUUGCCUACGGGGGGCAGCAGUGAGGAAUAUUGGUCAAUGGGCGCGAGCCUGAACCAGCCAAGUCGCGUGAGGGAAGACGGUCCUAUGGAUUGUAAACCUCUUUUGUCGGGGAGCAAAAGACGCCACGCGUGGCGUUCCGAGAGUACCCGAAGAAAAAGCAUCGGCUAACUCCGUGCCAGCAGCCGCGGUAAUACGUAGGGGGCAAGCGUUAUCCGGAUUCACUGGGCGUAAAGGGAGCGCAGGCGGCACGGCAAGCCUGGUGUGAAAACCCGGGGCCCAACCCCGGGAGUGCAUUGGGAACUGC
rnacentral:rRNA from 1 species